UCUCCGUAGGUGAACCUGCGGAGGGAUCAUUACAGAGUUCUCGCCCUCACGGGUAGAUCUCCCACCCACUGUUAUCGUUACUGUCGUUUCUUUGGCGGGCCGCCGGGUCCCCGGCCGCCGGCGCCUAGCUGCCGGCGCGCGCCCGCCAGAGACCUUCAAACUCUGAAUGUUAGUGUCGUCUGAGUACUAUAUAAUAGUUAAAACUUUCAACAACGGAUCUCUUGGUUCUG
rnacentral:misc_RNA from 1 species